CCUACGGGACGCAGCAGUGGGGGAUAUUGCACAAUGGGGGAAACCCUGAUGCAGCGACGCCGCGUGAGCGAUGAAGUAUUUCGGUAUGUAAAGCUCUAUCAGCAGGGAAGAAAAUGACGGUACCUGACUAAGAAGCCCCGGCUAACUACGUGCCAGCAGCCGCGGUAAUACGUAGGGGGCAAGCGUUAUCCGGAUUUACUGGGUGUAAAGGGAGCGUAGACGGCAGUGCAGGUCUGAAGUGAAAGGCAAGGGCUCAACCCUUGGACUGCUUUGGAAACUGUGCUGCUGGAGUGUCGGAGAGGCAA
rnacentral:rRNA from 1 species